rnacentral:tRNA from 1 species
UCGAGUUGUGGCGCGCAAGGUCGGCGUGUCGGCCCCACAAGUCGACGCUGGGCCGUUGUAGCGCUCAGUCGCUGAUGUCGAA